rnacentral:SRP_RNA from 1 species
UUUUAGGUCCAGGUAAGGUGCCAGGCGAACCCGGUCAGGGCAGAAAUGCAGCAGCCGUACCCUAGUGCCUUAAGCUGGGCCCGUUUUCU